CGAGCGCACUGGCCCACUGAUCUGACGUGCUUGCACUGAAGUGACGAUGGAUUACCAGUGAGCGGCGGACGGGUGAGUAACACGUGGGCAACCUGCCCUGAAGCGGGGGAUAACAUUUGGAAACAGGUGCUAAUACCGCAUAACAACGAAAACCACAUGGUUUUCGUUUCAAAGAUGGUUUCGGCUAUCACUUCAGGAUGGGCCCGCGGUGCAUUAGCUUGUUGGUAGGGUAACGGCCUACCAAGGCAAUGAUGCAUAGCCGAGUUGAGAGACUGAUCGGCCACAAUGGAACUGAGACACGGUCCAUACUCCUACGGGAGGCAGCAGUAGGGAAUCUUCCACAAUGGGCGCAAGCCUGAUGGAGCGACACCGCGUGAGUGAAGAAGGGUUUCGGCUCGUAAAGCUCUGUUGUUGAAGAAGAACGUGCGUGAGAGUAACUGUUCACGCAGUGACGGUAUUCAACCAGAAAGUCACGGCUAACUACGUGCCAGCAGCCGCGGUAAUACGUAGGUGGCAAGCGUUAUCCGGAUUUAUUGGGCGUAAAGCGAGCGCAGGCGGUUGCUUAAGUCUGAUGUGAAAGCCUUCGGCUUAACCGAAGAAGUGCAUCGGAAACUGAGCGACUUGAGUGCAGAAGAGGACAGUGGAACUCCAUGUGUAGCGGUGGAAUGCGUAGAUAUAUGGAAGAACACCAGUGGCGAAGGCGGCUGUCUGGUCUGCAACUGACGCUGAGGCUCGAAAGCAUGGGUAGCGAACAGGAUUAGAUACCCUGGUAGUCCAUGCCGUAAACGAUGAGUGCUAGGUGUUGGAGGGUUUCCGCCCUUCAGUGCCGCAGCUAACGCAUUAAGCACUCCGCCUGGGGAGUACGACCGCAA
rnacentral:rRNA from 1 species